UUUUAUUUCUUAGAUCCUUAUAUUUCGGACUGGGCUCUUUUUAUUGUAUAUUUCCCUUCAUUUUUGGGCCCAAGCCCAUUCAAUUCCGGGCCCAGCUCGUUACUCUUGAAACCCAGCCCCUUAAUUUACCUUAAACAACAUCGUUUUUGGUCGUGUGCCCUUAGGGCUUCUUCUCUUUUCUUCUCCCCUGUUUCUUGCAAUGUCCACUUCCUUUCUCUUCUUCUUCAUUUUUGUUCUUCUUUCCCUGUAGCCAAACGACUCCUUCUUCCUCUCUUGUGCCGCCGUUCCUUCCACCUUCUUCUUUGCAUUAGCUUGCAUUUAUUUUAUCUUGCAUUUGUUUCUUAUUUUUGCUGUAAAACGAAACCUCUCUCUUCUCUUUUGUUGCAUUUUUAUUUCAUGGGUUUCUCACCAUUGUUGCAGGUUUGGCCAAAGCUUUUGUGCACCUCUUUCCUCUUCUUCUUUUCUUAUGUAUUUCUUGUUAUUGUGGUGUAGAAACCCUUGCUUUUCUCUUAUUUUUCCCCUUGAAUCGUGACCUAUUUUGGCCCCUUAUUUUGUGCUCUGUUUUGCCUCCAAACGCGAAGCUUGAUGCUCCAUUUUCCUCUUUUCUUUCUCUAGUAUUUUAAUGUGCUAGAUUUUGGGGAAAACCUUGCAUAUUUUUGGGUGUUUUGGCCUCAAAACCGAGCCUUUUUUUAGCUCCAUUUUUAGUGCCCUGUUUAGCCCAAUCCGUGAGCUUCACUUUGGGUUUUUCUUGGUUAUUUUCCUCUGCCAUGAACCUUGUCUUCCAGUCACAACAUUCUGAUUUUAUCCUAGUAAAUCAGUCCUUUGUUACCCAAAAAUAUUACUCCAAAUCCCCUUGUUUUCGAAACCUAUUUUAGUCUCCAAAACGAUAAUUUUUGGUGGUUUAUUUUCGAGAUAGUUUUUGGGAGUUAAAUCGGGUGCGUGAUCUUUCAUAAAUAUUGGCUUUAAAGCGCUAUUUUGAUGCAGAUGAUGAGGAGACUGAGAUUGAGGAGAUGGCUCUGCUGGAGGUAUGAUUUGGUGCCAUUUGCUUGUAUAUUGGGAAUUGUUAUCCCGCUUUUGAAUUAUGUCUUUUGGCUUAUAUUAUGCUUUGCUGAUUAACUGUAGUAUUUUGGUACGCUUGUGUUUAAGCAAAUUUGCAUUAAACAAUUUUGGUACUUA